rfam:Legionella oakridgensis ATCC 33761 = DSM 21215, complete genome.
AAAGUCGGUCAGGCAAUCGCUCUUUGCUUUAGCAAAGGGAGGAAAGUCCGGGCUCCAUAGGGCAGAGUGCCAGGUAACUCCUGGGAGAUGUGAGUCUACGGAAAGUGCCACAGAAAAUAUACCGCCUGUAUACUACAGGUAAGGGUGAAAUGGUGCGGUAAGAGCGCACCGCACGAUUGGUAACAGUCGUGGCAGGGAAAACCCCACUUGGAGCAAGACCAAAUAGGAAUCCAUAUGAUCAUUGCGAUCAUAACGCACGGCCCGUGUGGGAUUCGGGUAGGUCGCUUGAGGUAAACGGUGACGUUUAUCCCAGAUGAAUGGUUGUCCAAGACAGAACCCGGCUUAUCGGCCGACUUUUAUU